rnacentral:antisense_RNA from 1 species
UUGAGGGGAGACGGAACCCUGAGCAGCCCAUGUACAUGGAAGAUCUUUAUUGCAGAGAUCUUUAAACCAGGAAACUGAGGCUAAAGAGUUUAGUAUUCUGCCAAGGCCAGCUAAAGUUACAGAGCAUGGUUCCAAAUUCAGAGCUGUUGGAAGCUUAAGCUCAUGUGAUGAACCACGAAUGUGAUUUUACCUCAUUUAAGCCUUGCAGCAAACUCUGCCAAGCUGUCUCUACCAGGCCAGAAUUUGGGGCAGGCAAGAUUUUCAGCAUCCCUAAAAUCACACUAAGAAGAUAAACAUGGAAACAGCUUGGAGCUGCCCUACCCAUAGUGAGGUGGUACUGACUGGAAGACAGCUUAAACGAUUUGGAGAAAACUGGAAUACAUUAAUCUCAGAAAACUCUACCACCUGUAGAAAGAGAGCUAAAAUGGAGACAACCACAGGCAGUCUAAGAUACGCUGAACUACUACAGAAAAUAAUGCAGCAUGAAGGAAUGCUGGAAGGAUCUUCUAAGGGUGUGAGGAUACAGGCGUCAAAGACCCCGUGCUGAGACAGCUCCAUAACAACAUGCAGAUAUUUGGCAAUGAGGAUUCAGAAGAGGACUUGCUGUGGAGAAGGGAGAAAAGAGGUGGGAAGACUCUGUGAAUGAAUAGAGAACACUCUGCAAGCAUCCCAGUUCCUUUGGUUGCCCUGCAGUCUGCAGGUACCAGGAAAAAUCAAAAGCCGCCUGGAAGGGCUUUCUGUCUGUAUGGAGUCAAGGCAGUGUCUUCAAAUCUAUGCUUUCUAAAACAAAGAAAUAACCUUGAUGAAACAAAUUUUCCCCAGAGGAAGGGGAGAGCCCACAGUGAGCUGGUAAAGAAGAUGCCUGGAGCAGGCGGCAUCCUCAAAUGGAAGAGAUGGGGUCUUGCUAUGUUGCCCAAGCUGGUCUUAAAUUCCUGGCAUCAAGUGAUCCUCCUGCCUCAGCCUCCCAAAGUACUGGGAUUACAGAACAAAACAAUCAGCAGGCGGGCUUGUGGCAUUCUAAGAACAGACACUGGCAGGAACAAAGGUUACAGAAGUGAGUGACUCUAAGAAUCAAGCAAGACAUGGAGUGGCAGAAAAUUAAAUUCUGAAUCCCUAAAAGACAUGAUGCAAAGAUGACCUUCUCUCCCAAGGACAUGUCCUCAUCCCGCGCUGACCGUGUGUGAUCAUUUCAGGAAAAGCAAACAAUGGAGAAGCUGCUUGAAUGAUACUUAGACCUGGGACAACUGAAAGGAGUUGCACUUAUACAAUUCGAUGCAGUGGAGUCCCCUGGGAGGAGCCCCAGUCACACGGGAAGAGACAGUCACAGCUGUAAUAAAUGAUGGCUAGCAUGU